AUGGGGCCAGCUGAGAGGCAGAGCGGGACAUUAAAGAGAGUGCGACAUUCUUGUUCUCUCUUAGGGGGGCAAAGGAGAAGAGAGGAACCGAUCUCCCAGAAUGCAUUGCAGCAAAGAUUCGGGAGGAAGAAAGGAAGUAAGGAAGGAAGGACGGAAGGUGACGGAAAGAUAAUGCGGGCGCCCGUCCUGUCUCGUACACGGCGAAUAUUGGCCCCACCGCGGCCGAUCAGGAACUUGUGGUAUUCGGGCUUGGCCUGCAGUUCAACUGUGAAGUUGUUGACUUGCUGAAAGGAAGAGAAAAAGCUGCAGCAGUUGCUUCUUGGCCUUCUCCACCUCCCCAGCAGGUCCCCUGAUGGUGACCUUGUCUGAGCCGGAGCCCUCAGAGGGGAAGUGGAUGUGGACGCCGCCACACUCCUCCAUGACGGAGCGAACCAGGCAGCCCUUGGAGCCGAUCAGGGAGUUGUGGAGCUUUGCUGGGAUGGUGACCUCCGUCUCUUUAAUGUUGGCCUUCAGGAGGGAUGAGGUGAGGAAGGCAGAGGAGCCAUUUUGAGAAGACCUUUCAUUCAUUCAUUCAUUUUCUACCGCUUUUCUCGCGGGGGUGCUGGAGCCUAUCCCAGCUGACUGCGGGCGAGAGGCGGGGUACACCCUGGACUGGUCGCCAGCCAAUCACAGGGCACAUAUAGACAAACAACCAUUCACACUCACAUUCAUACCUAUGGACAAUUUGGAGUCGCUAAUUAACCUAGCAUGUUUUUGGAAUGUGGGAGGAAA